AGAAUCAACGCUGGCGGCGUGCCUAACACAUGCAAGUCGAACGAGAAAGUGGAGCAAUCCAUGAGUAAAGUGGCGCACGGGUGAGUAACACGUGACUAACCUACCCUUGAGUGGGGAAUAACCUAGGGAAACCUGGGCUAAUACCGCAUAACACCUACGGGUCAAAGGAGCAAUUCGCUUAAGGAGGGGUCGCGGCAGAUUAGCUAGUUGGCGGGUAAUGGCCCACCAAGGCAGUGAUCUGUAUCCGGCCUGAGAGGGCGCACGGACACACUGGAACUGAAACACGGUCCAGACUCCUACGGGAGGCAGCAGUGGGGAAUUUUGCGCAAUGGGGGAAACCCUGACGCAGCAACGCCGCGUGGAGGAUGAAGUCCCUUGGGACGUAAACUCCUUUCGACCGGGAAGAUUAUGACGGUACCGGAAGAAGAAGCCCCGGCUAACUUCGCGCCAGCAGCCGC
rnacentral:rRNA from 1 species